rnacentral:lncRNA from 1 species
UAUUUUAUUAAACAAAUCAUCAUUAAAGAUUAAGAGAAAUAUGAAUAUGAUAUUAGAUUGGACAUCAUUCCAUAUCUAGAGUCAUAUUCGGGGUGUAGAGAUAUCGUAGGAUCGAAUUGCAUGAUAACUUUUCACUGAAGAAUAUUUUUAAUAUUUUUAUUAAAAUUUUAUAUCUUUUAGGUAGACAUAAUAUGUUGCUAGAUGUCAAUCUUGUCUUGUAGGCUUGAUCGAAUUAAAGAGUUUAAUUCGAUCGCCAAUUAGAAAGAGUUCUAAUUGCUAGAAUUGGGUUAACUCGAUUGGAUCU